AGAGGAACCACGACGGCCAUGCGGAAGCCACACAAGAGCGAUCCAAUGUCUCAUCUCCGCCCUCAAUCAUGGCCUCCGCUGAUGCCAAAGUAAACCCAUUCAGCUUCAGGAGGCUUUUCAGCAAACAAAGCAUAAUUUGUACGACGGAUCUGUGUGUUACAGUAGAGGAUCACGGGCAUUUGAAAUGACACAACUGGAAGCUAAAUCCAACAGCAGGGGAGACCCUUACCAAGGCGAGGUAUGAUGCUCCACUUGGUCUCACUGCCUCCCGUCUCUGCUCCAUCCAAUCUAUCUUCCAGUCCAGAAGUGAAGGUUUUGUGCCAAAAUGCAUUCACCCAUCCAAACAUUCAAUAAAUAUCUACUAAGUACCCACUAAAGGUUAGGUGUGCGUGAAGCCCUGGUGGCAAAGAAAUAAACAGACCCGACCUCUUCCCUCAAACAGCUAGUGAACAGUGCAAACCAUGGCAUGGUUUGAAAAAUGAGCAUGAGGACUGCCCAGGGUCCCUUUGGGAAAUGCUGAACAGAGUGUGCAUGGCACAUUCAACAGUUCCUUGGAGCAUGGAGUACCCACGGGCAAGAGUGGGAGAGAAAGCGAGGAGGCAGGCAAAGGCCAGGGCAGGAAGGCCCCAAAAGGCCAUGUGGACCUCACCACGUGAUUUCUGUUUAGAAACUUUCAAUGGUGCCCCAUUCCAAACCCUUAAGUAUGGCCUCUGUGCGUCCUGGUGUAGCCCCCAAGCUACAUUUCUGAUCCAUUCUCAACUCCUAGUACUGUGCUACACCCAUCUACACCUCACUCCUCAAAGACUCGAAGUAAACUCAUGCUCUUGGCCUGAUUCAAAUAAUUCCCUUAGGCCACUCUGGACCCCAAACCGUCUCCUCCACAUCUCGGCCUGCUGAAACCGGACUUACCGUUUCUUCAGUAUAAUACUGCAGCCACUAACCAGUAGGAAUUAAGCAUGGUCCUACCUUCAAGGAGGUUAGACUCUUGUGGAAGAAAAGGAUAAGUUUAGUUAACUAUCGUGUAACUAUAAAAGACAUGGUGAUGAUAUGUGAUAGGUGUUUCCAAAAAAUCACUUCACUGUAGUAACAAUACAGUGGGAAAUGAGUUGUCGGACUUUGCAAGGAAUGUUUCAAGAAUAAAAGCAUUUAAACUGAUCCUUGCCAGUUAAAUAGGGUCCAACCAAUCACAACAGACACUAAUACCAGCUGAUUGUUACCUUUCCAUCUCUUGCUGUACCUCGUUAACAAUAGAAUCUCAAAAAAUGCCUGCUGAAUAAACCAUACAUAUGCAUAAUAAACUCCAAAAGAAAGUA
rnacentral:lncRNA from 1 species